UAAAGAUGGAUCAGUGGUGCAGAAUCAGACUACAGGAGACAUGAUGAUCAUCCCUACAGUCUCAAAGUCACAUGAGGGUUUCUACUACUGUAAACACCCAGAGAGAGGAGAGUCUCCAAAGAGCUGGAUCUCAGUCAGAGAGAAUACAAGUGAAGGUGACGACACCAUGAACUCCAAACUGAAGAAGGGAGAAGAUCAAGAUGUGGCUUCUGGAUCUAGUGAUGUGACUAAUGCUCAGAAAAAAUAAAAGAAAAAUAAGAGAGAUGUGUCUAUAAAACAACCUGUGAUUAUUUUA